GACGAACGCUGGCGGCGUGCUUAACACAUGCAAGUCGAACGGUGAAGCGCCUUCCUUUUUGGUGGGUGUGGAUGAGUGGCGAACUGAUGAGUAACACGUGAGUAACCUGCCCCCUUCUUCUGCAUAACCGCAUGAAAGUGUGGCUAAUACGGGAUAUUCUGGGUCUGUCGCAUGAUGGGUCUGGGAAAGAUCUUGUUUCGGUUGGGGAUGGUCUCGCGGCCUAUCAGCUUGUUGGUGGUGUGAUGGCCUACCAGGGCGGUGGCGGGUAGACGGCGUGGGAGGGUGGACGGUCAGACAGGGUGAGAGGCACCGCUGAGACUCCGACGGGGGGCAGACGCGUGGGGUAGGGAGCAGUGGGCGCAAUCGUGAUGCGGCGGCGAGCCUUAUGCAGUGGAGCCCCUUGGGUUGUGAACCUCUUUCGGCAGUGAACCAGGCUUGCCUCGUAUGUGGGUGGGUUGACGGUAGCUGGAGAAGAAGCGCCGGCUAACUACGUG
rnacentral:rRNA from 1 species